CAACUGGAGGACCGAACCGACUAAUGUUGAAAAAUUAGCGGAUGACUUGUGGCUAGGGGUGAAAGGCCAAUCAAACCUGGAGAUAGCUGGUUCUCCCCGAAAGCUAUUUAGGUAGCGCCUCGGACGAAUACUACUGGGGGUAGAGCACUGUUAAGGCUAGGGGGUCAUCCCGACUUACCAACCCUUUGCAAACUCCGAAUACCAGUAAGUACUAUCCGGGAGACACACGGCGGGUGCUAACGUCCGUCGUGGAGAGGGAAACAACCCAGACCGCCAGCUAAGGUCCCAAAUUACUACUAAGUGGGAAACGAUGUGGGAAGGCUCAGACAGCCAGGAUGUUGGCUUAGAAGCAGCCAUCAUUUAAAGAAAGCGUAAUAGCUCACUGGUCGAGUCGGCCUGCGCGGAAGAUGUAACGGGGCUAAGUAGUAAACCGAAGCUGCGGCAAUACUCUUUGAGUAUUGGGUAGGGGAGCGUUCUGUAAGCGGUUGAAGGUGUGUGGUAACGCAUGCUGGACGUAUCAGAAGUGCGAAUGCUGACAUGAGUAACGAUAAAGGGGGUGAAAAACCUCCUCGCCGGAAGACCAAGGGUUCCUGUCCAACGUUAAUCGGGGCAGGGUAAGUCGACCCCUAAGGCGAGGCCGAAAGGCGUAGUCGAUGGGAAACGGGUUAAUAUUCCCGUACUUCUUACAAUUGCGAUGGGGGGACGGAGAAGGCUAGGUGGGCCUGGCGACGGUUGUCCAGGUUCAAGUGCGUAGGCUUAAGAGUUAGGUAAAUCCGGCUCUUUCUAAGGCUGAGACACGACGUCGAGCACCUACGGGUGUGAAGUCAUUGAUGCCAUGCUUCCAGGAAAAGCCUCUAAGCUU
rnacentral:rRNA from 1 species